rnacentral:tRNA from 1 species
GCCCGCUUGGCUCAGUGGUAAAGCGCAUCACUAGUAAUAGGUUAUGAUGAGAUCACUGGUUCGAUUCCAGUAGUGGGCA